rnacentral:tRNA from 1 species
GCGCCCGUAGCUCAGCAGGACAGAGCGCAGGACUCCUAAUCUUGAGGUCGUGGGUUCAAAUCCCCCCGGGCGUG